CCUGUUUCAUUUGCAGCCACUGAAGAAAGAAACUGUGAAAAUGACCAGGUCCCAAAGAUUUUAUGUGAAGAUGGUCCUAGCAAUGAGAGUUCAGCAAGACUUGAAGCCCUGAAGGAGGAGCUGUGCAUUGGCCAACAGGGUGCCUUGUGUGAGUUCUGCACUAGGGGAUAGCAGCUGAGCAGCAGCAGUUGUUACUACUUCUCAAGAAUACAGUGGAGCUAGGCAUCUGGUGUCAGAGACUGUACUGACAGGAAAUCCCAGCUCCUGAUCCUGGAGGAUGAAGCUGAAGCGGUCAGGAUCCGUGAACUGAGUCAGGGAGAUGAGUAUUUCUGGAUCGAGUUCAAGUAUAACAAGACCCAGAAGCAAUGGAUGUGGUUGGACAACACUGGAUUCUCCAGAUACAGGGUAACAGUGAAAAAACACCUUCCUGGAAACGACUGUGCCUCUUUGAAGAGAAAAGAUGAGUUUGCUUCUCAAAGAUGUCAAUAUCCUCUGCACUGGAUCUGUAAAAGAAAUGUGUCUGUGCUGGAACUCUGAGAUUCUGCAGGAACGUUGGCAGCAUCUUCUGGAUCUACUUUUUUUCUCUCAGGGCUGGUGGGGUUGGUAUUCAUCCAUCCUUUCCAUUCUCUUCUUCCUCUUCUUUGUAACUUACUUUUAUGUCUUUCUUCCCCACUAGAUCUAAAAUAUUAAUGGAAGAGGUUGUUUCUUCUAAGCCUAUGUUGCCCUCCCAAACAUUUAGUACAGUGUUGAGUUUUCUUUGCACAAUACUUGUGCUACAUUUGUAAGCUGCUUGAGGGCAGGGAGCAUAUCUACCUAGUCUAUUGUACUCUUCCAAGCUCUUA